AGAAUGCAAGUAGUAUCUCUAAUUUUUUGUAUUUUCUAGGUGUUGCUUUGUGGCAUAAUAUAUGGUCUGCUUUAGAGAAGAAUCCAUAUGCUGCUGAGAAGAAAGUGUAUUCUCUCGUUGAAGGAUGAAAUAUUCUAUAUAUGUCAGUUAAGUCUAAGUUAUUGAUUGUAUUUAUUGAGUUCUAUAGUUUAUUUCUUUAACUUUUGUUUGGAAGAUCUAUCUAGUUGUGAAGAAGGUGUGUUAAAGUUACCCAGAAUUAUUGUGUUGUGGGCUAUUUGACUCUUGAACUUGAGAAGAAUUUGUUUGAUGAACAUAGAAGCCCCAUUGUUUGGGGGCAUAUCUAUUUUUAAUUGUUAAGUCUUGUUGGAGUAUGAUUCCCUUGAGCAGUAUGAAAUGUCCUUCUUCCUUUUUGAUUAACUUUGGCUUGAAGUCUACUUUAUUUGAUAUGAGAAUGGACACCCCUGCUUGCUUCCACAGUCCAUAUGAGUGGUAUGAUUUUUCCUGACACUUCACCUCCAGUCUGUGGAUGUCUUUUUCUAUAUUGUUGUUGUUGGUGGUGGUUUUUUAAUCCAAUCUGCCAGUCUAUGUCUUGGUUAAUAACCCUGAUUAACAUUCAGGGUUAUUAUUGAGACAUGAUUUGUAUUCCCAGCCAUUUUUGUUUAUUUUUGGUAUUUAACUUGACUUAGUUUCUCCUUUGAUUAGUUUUUCUUUUAGUGUAAUACCUCCAUCUGCUGAUUUUUAUUGUCAGUUUGCCUUUCCUCCUCAUGGAAUAUUUUGCUGAGGAUAUUCUGAAGUGCAGGCUUUCUAGUUGUGAAUUCUUUUAACAUUUUGUUUAUCAUGGAAGGUUUUUAUUUUAUCAUCAAAUAUAAAGCUUACUUUUGCUGGAUAAAAGAUUCUUGGUUGGCAUCCAUUUUCUUUCAGGGCUUGAUAUAUAUUGUUCCAGGAUCUUCUAGCUCUCAGGGUCUGGGUUGAAAAACCUGUAGAUACCCUAAUUGGUUUCCCUCUAUAUGUAAUCUGAUUCCUUUCUCUCUUGGCUUUUAAAUUUCUCUCCUUAUUCUGUAUGUUAGGCAUUUUCAUUAUGAUGUGCCUUGGUGUGGAUCUUCAGUAAUUUUGUACAUUUGGCAUCCUAUAAGCCUCUUGUAUUUGGUUUUCCAAUUCAUUCUUCAUGUUUGGAAAAUUUUCUGACAUUAUUUCACUGAAUACAUUGCUCAUUCCUUUGGUUUGUAACUCUAUGCUUUCCUCUAUCCUGAUAACUCUUAAAUUUGGUCUUUUUAUACUAUCCCAUAUUUAUUGAAUGUUCUGCUCAUGGUUUCUUACCAUCUUCACUGUGUGGUCUACAUUCUUUUCAAGAUUAUAUAUUUUGUCUUCAUUGUCCAAGGUUCUGAAUUCCAAGUGGGUCUAAUCUGUUGGUGAUUCUUUCAAUUGAGCUUUUAAUUUGGUUUGUUGCUUCUUUCAUUUCAUGGAUUUCUGUUUGUUUGUUUGUUUUUUCCAGAACCUCUAUCUCCUUAUUGAAGUAAUCUUUUGCUUCCUGUAUUUGCUUAUGUAGCUCUUUAUUAAAAUGAUCUUUUGCUGCCGGUAUUUGCUCUCUUAUAUCAUCCUUCAAUUCACAGAACAUUUUAAUUAUGUACCUCCUGACCUUCUUCUCUGCCAUUUCUUCUGCUGUGCUGGCCUUGGAUUCUAAUAAUGUAGCAUCUUGAUUUGUUUGGGGCACUUUAUUCCCUUGUUUUUUCAUGUUGUUCCUGUGUCUUCCCUUCUAGCACUGCGGAUCUGAGGUGUCACCAUUUUUACCCUAUAGGCUUAUAGUGUCCCCAUAGGGUUCCAAUACCUCUCCUCUGAGGUGAAGGACAAUGUGACCAGAACCCAAUACAAACAAUACACAGCCUUAAACCAAAUAGUUGCUAUUAAGAUGUUUACAGUUUGGUCACAAUACACAGAAAUGGUGAGUUCAAUUAUUAUCUACAAUAUACCUGCCCAGCCGGUGUUUCAAACUGGGAGUUGUCCCAACUAAAGAUGGCAAUAAAGGUGACCUAAGAUGGAGGCGGCUGCUUUAGUGAUGAGGAGUUGGAUGGGGGGGGGGGGCAUUGGGUGAUGUGUUCAGAGACACAGCUCUGUGGGGUGCAGUGUGUGGCUGUCGGCUGUGCUCAGGGCCUGUGUGAUGUCUCCUGGUGCAGGCAUGGUACCGCGUGUAGGGACUAUGGCAUUGGCCGCAGAGUCCCAAAAUGGAGGUGACUGAGGUGAGUCCCACGUUGGUAGAUGGGGGUCCACACAGGAGUGGCGGCCAGAGUUCCUGCGAAGGUGGACACAGGCGUCCUGCACGGUGCUGAUGUCCAUGGUCCUGCUGGGACACCCGGAGCCCAGUGUGGGCAAGCAGUUAGGCGUCCUGCUCUGAAUCUGAGGUCUGGAGCCCCGUGGGCAGGGCGGCCAUGAUUCCUGUCAGGAGCAACUGUUGGGGUCCUCUGUCACUCCCACUACUUGAGUCCCAGGUCAGGAGCGACACAGAGUGCUGCCUCUCUCUCACCCACCAUGUUGGGGCUCCUCUGGAAUUUGUUUUUACAGUUGAAAAGAAGCUGAUGGCUUCCGUGUGGAGUCGACGUGAUCUGAAGAAGGCAACUCUGAGCACUGCCCCUGCAGACACCUCUUAGGGAUACGUGGACCCUCGCUGCUGUGGCCUGAGUCUUGUGUCCUCUGAAAUUUAAAUGCUGAAACCUGAUCCUGGUCGUGGGGGGGGGAGGAUUGGUGGAGCCCUUGGGAGGUGGCCAGUUUAUCAGGGUGCAGCCUCACACAUGGGGUCAGUGCCCUUCUAAAAGAGGUGGUGAGCUAUGUGGCACCCCUCCUACCCUGUGAGGACAAGAGCAAGGUGGCUCUGUGCCCAGGAAGUGGCCCUCAGCAGACACAGACCUGCAGGUGCCUCGGUCCUGGACGGCCAGGCUUCGGGCUGUGAGCAGGAAUCCUGCUCUUGCUGAGCUGCUUGGCCUGCCGAGUUCUGCCACAGCAGCCCACGUGCAGCCACCAGCCCCACAGGAGCUUCUUGGAAUCCCGAGCUCCCCAGACCCCUGCUGUCCUCAUUGUCCUUCCAUCUAACCCCGAACUCACAUCAAGAAACUUCAUUCAAUUCCCCCAGAUAAGAACUCCUGCAGCUUCCUGCAUCCACAAGAAGCUCUUUGGUCUUCCUGCCACCGGUCUGGCUCACCCCUUCUCUGCCCUCGCUGCCCUCCCAGCACCCUCUUUCCAUAAGUCCAGUAAGUCAGGACCACACACAAGAUCUGUGCACCCAGAGGGAUGUCCCCCGCUCACAAAGGGCCAGGUGCGGUAAGCACUGAGCAUCAGUCCCCCCGGCUGCUCUCACACAGGACUGUGGUCCAGGUCUUCCUCCAAGCAGGGACGUCCCCUCCUGGGGGAUGCCUGCUCGCUCUCCUACUCCUUCCUGAUGGGGAUUGCCAGCUGUGCUCUCUGGACUUGGGCCAUUUGGGGUGAUUGUGCUGCGUGUCUUCUGCUCUGCCCUGACUGUCUAACCUCCUCAGGCUGAUUUUGAGAAGAGAAGCUGUUAGCUCCACCGUGACUCACCAGGCUCCUCCGGGAUCUGCAGAGCCUCCUGAGGAGCAGCUUAAGGAAAGCCCAGGCUGCCUGGUGCUCACAGUCUCAGGGUGGGUGGUGUCCUUGGUGCCACAGCGAGGAGCCUUGAGUGUCAGAGGGGGACCUGGAGCCUGGCAGGUGAGGCGGAAGCCAGCGAGGACAGCACAGAGGUCCAUCCCGCCUCAGCCAGCAGGCAGGACAGCACCAUGGUGUGCGGACAACGAGGUGGCACCCGGCUCUGCUGCACCGCUUUGACCUGCGUAGUCACCUGAAGCUCCACACCACGUUUAGAAGUCACUGCCACACUUCUUUGUGCACAGUAAGUCCCCCCACUGAGGCCAGGGGACAGGGGUGGGAAGGUGCAGAGACCCCGCAGUGACGGGGAAAAGAAAGGAAUGAAAAGCGUGAGAAUGUAAGGGGUGGAAGUCGGGAGGAGGCGUUGUCGGAGCACUUCUUCUGGUUGGAAAUUGGUGGCUUGGACCCUUCAGUUUCGAGAACACAGAUCCAUGGUAUCCAAGGUACGCAGCUACGCCAGCGAAGGGAGCCUUGCCAACAUCCGGUGGACAGAGCCGGGUGGAGGCUGGCUGCAGACACAGGGGCCCCGGUUGGCAGGGCCGAGCCUGCUUGGCUCACUUCGGAGUCCACACUGCUUCUCAUAUUCAAAAUAAUGAAGAGCAAAACAGUCCCACCGUCAGCUGUGUUUUCUUUGCAGGUAUCAAGAUGGCUUUUCACAAUAGCUGGGUGUCCAGCAGGGUCCUGGCAACCCCCUGUCGGGGGGGGGGGCUCCCUGCUGAGCAGGACCUCAGACAGCACUCAUUGCCUGCGGGCAGAGUGGUCUGUGUUGGGCACCGAGCAGAGGCUGUGGUGCACAGUGCCCACAGGAGCCACCAUCUGCCAGAAGGGAGGGGUUGCCCUGCUCCCCUCCCCAGGCCCUCCCGUCACCUGCCCACUCAGCAGCUGUGGCCAUUCCCGUCCCAGCUGGGCUCUGUGGAAGUAGUCAGAGAGGUGGAGGUCAGGGUGCAGGAGGUGACUGUCCUCUGAGAGGAAGCAGGACCGGGGGGCAGGGGAGUUGGACGUGGCUGGCCACUGCCACAGGUGGCCCACCUCACCCAUCCCCACAGGCAGGCUGCUCCAGGCUCCGCUGACUUGGGUCAAACGGAGCCUCUGACGCUGGGGCCACCUGAAGGAGCUGGGAGCUGGGUCUUUCUGCCGAGCAGACCCGUGGCAGACCCUCUCUCCUGGAGGGCACUGGCCACAAGACUCAUGGCUGCCACCCACUUGUUCAGCAUCUCUCCAACGGGUCCUAGCCUUGGUGACAGCAGAUCUCUCCAAGAGGAAACUCAGUUCAUGGAGGAAAACAGAAACAUCUCCGGCUGACACCUUUUAACCUCCAAAGAGCUUGUUCAGGCUUCUGCACAAUGAAGUCUGAGGAGGGUCAGCUGAUGCACCAGGAGCCUUUGUGUCCCUGACGGCCUCCAGUCCUCUCAGGAUCCAGCUGGCCUCACAGGGAGAGCUCAAAGUCCAGGUGAAGUCCUGUGAGGCCGAGGCACAAAGCCAGUCAUAUGGCACAUCUUAUUUUGAUUCCACAAUUUUGCUAAUACCCAC
rnacentral:lncRNA from 1 species